rnacentral:ncRNA from 1 species
CCUGUCGGCGAGGUCGAGCGAGAGCGUGCAAGUCGGGACCCGAAAGAUGGUGAACUAUGCCUGAGGAGGUUGAAGCCAGAGGAAACUCUGGUGGAGGACCGUAGCGAUUCUGACGUGCAAAUCGAUCGUCAAAUUUGGGUAUAGGGGCGAAAGACUAAUCGAACCGUCUAGUAGCUGGUUCCCUUCGAAGUUUCCCUCAGGAUAGCUGGCGCUCUGUCGCAGUUUUAUCUGGUAAAGCGAAUGAUUAGAGGUCUUGGGGGCGAAACGCCCUCAACCUAUUCUCAAACUUUAAAUUGGUAAGAAGCCCGACUCGCUCGUUUGGAGCCGGGCAUGGAAUGCGAGUGCCAAGUGGGCCACUCUUGGUAAGCAGGACUGGCGAUGCGGGAUGAACCGAACGCCGGGUUAAGGCGCCCGACGCGACGCUCAUCAGAGCCCACAAAAGGUGUUGGUUGAUAUAGACAGCAGGACGGUGGCCAUGGAAGUCGGAAACCGCUAAGGAGUGUGUAACAACUCACCUGCCGAAUCAAUCAGCCCUGAAAAUGGAUGGCGCUGGAGCGUCGGGCCUAUACCCGGCCGUCGCGGCGGUACGAGCAUCGAGUUGGUGCGCUAGGCCGCGACGAGUAGGAGGGCCGCGGCGGCGGGCGUAGAAGCCUAGGGCGCGAGCCCGGGUGGAGCAGCCGUCGGUGCAGAUCUUGGUGGUAGUAGCAA